rnacentral:rRNA from 1 species
GACGAACGCUGGCGGCGUGCUUAACACAUGCAAGUCGAACGCUGAAGCACCAGCUUGCUGGUGUGGAUGAGUGGCGAACGGGUGAGUAAUACGUGAGUAACCUGCCCUUGACUCUGGGAUAAGCCCGGGAAACUGGGUCUAAUACUGGAUGCUACAUGUCACCGCAUGGUGGUGUGUGGAAAGGGUUUACUGGUCUUGGAUGGGCUCACGGCCUAUCAGCUUGUUGGUGAGGUAAUGGCUCACCAAGGCGACGACGGGUAGCCGGCCUGAGAGGGUGACCGGCCACACUGGGACUGAGACACGGCCCAGACUCCUACGGGAGGCAGCAGUGGGGAAUAUUGCACAAUGGGCGAAAGCCUGAUGCAGCGACGCCGCGUGAGGGAUGACGGCCUUCGGGUUGGAAACCUCUUUCAGCAGGGAAGAAGCCACAAGUGACGGUACCUGCAGAAGAAGCGCCGGCUAACUACGUG